GGAAUAUUGGACAAUGGGCGCAAGCCUGAUCCAGCAAUGCCGCGUGUGUGAAGAAGGCCUGCGGGUUGUAAAGCACUUUCAGCAGGGAAGAAAAGCCUACGGUUAAUACCCGGGUGUCAUGACGGUACCGUCAGAAUAAGCACCGGCUAACUUCGUGCCAGCAGCCGCGGUAAUACGAAGGGUGCAAGCGUUACUCGGAAUUACUGGGCGUAAAGCGUGCGUAGGUGGUUUGUUAAGUCUGAUGUGAAAGCCCUGGGCUCAACCUGGGAAUUGCAUUGGAUACUGGCAGUCUAGAGUGCGGUAGAGGGUAGCGGAAUUCCCGGUGUAGCAGUGAAAUGCGUAGAUAUCGGGAGGAACAUCCGUGGCGAAGGCGGCUACCUGGACCAGCACUGACACUGAGGCACGAAAGCGUGGGGAGCAAAC
rnacentral:rRNA from 1 species